CUUAGCAUUUUAAAAAGUGCAUUGUAACAAAAAUAACAUGCUUCAUUAGAGGUUUUUAUUUCUUGUACGUUUCGAUAAUUACAUCUUUAAAGUGAUUUUGUGUUUGAAUUUCUUCUCAGAAUUUUACACCACCAAAGAAUAAUACGAAAGACACUUGAUGAUGUUUUGGCCUAUAAGACCAGCAAUACUGGUUCUUUAUUUUGCAAAUCUACCUCCAAUGCGAACAUCGAAUCUAAAAUUGUGCAAAGACGGAUACUUUGGUCAAAAUUGUUCGUUCCCCUGUCGGUAUCCAAAUUAUGGAGCGGAUUGUCAAAAAAGUUGUGUUUGCAACGAAACACUAUGCCAUCAUGUGUCCGGAUGCCCGGCUACACAUGCUACAGAUGAAGCUGAGCAAACAACAACAUUGCCGGUGAACGAUUCGAUAUUUCUGCAGAACGUAACCAAAAUGAAAAUUCUCUAUAUGUCAUUCAAUAUCAGAGGAAA